AGCGAACGCUGGCGGCAGGCCUAACACAUGCAAGUCGAACGAACCCUUCGGGGUUAGUGGCGGACGGGUGAGUAACACGUGGGAACGUGCCUUUAGGUUCGGAAUAACUCAGGGAAACUUGUGCUAAUACCGAAUGUGCCCUUCGGGGGAAAGAUUUAUCGCCUUUAGAGCGGCCCGCGUCUGAUUAGCUAGUUGGUGAGGUAAUGGCUCACCAAGGCUACGAUCAGUAGCUGGUCUGAGAGGAUGACCAGCCACAUUGGGACUGAGACACGGCCCAAACUCCUACGGGAGGCAGCAGUGGGGAAUCUUGCGCAAUGGGCGAAAGCCUGACGCAGCCAUGCCGCGUGGAUGAUGAAGGUCUUAGGAUUGUAAAAUCCUUUCACCGGUGAAGAUAAUGACUGUAGCCGGAGAAGAAGCCCCGGCUAACUUCGUGCCCGCCGCCGCAGUAAAAC
rnacentral:rRNA from 1 species